CUAGACACGAACUCCACUCUCUCUCUCUAAGAUUUUCGGGCUGUGUGUUGCCAGAAUCGACGAUCCGACGUCGCUAUGUGGAUCAGGGAAGGAAUCUCUAUAGGUUCUAUGGAUCAGAAUUUCAUUUUGGAGAUUUCCGAGUUUUUCCUGAAAAUCGAGGAUGGAACCCAGAGGGAGGGGAUUAUGGCAGGAGGCAAUAAUCAUCUGGAUGCCUCCAAUGAGGAUGAGACUGAGGCUCCUGUGUUCCUCCGUGAUAUAGCGAGGCAGGCUAGGAAGGAACCCAGGAGGAGUUCUAGGGAGCAGGAUCAGAUGGUUGUAGAUAGAGGUUGCACGUACCAGCAAUUCUCCAGAAUGAAUCCAUCAGCAUUUUCGGGAGGGCCGAACCCGAUUGUGGCAAAGGACUGGUUACAAGAGAUGGACGAUCUGUUGGAGGUGUCCGACUGCACAGAGGAACAAAAGGUUAAAUACACCGCCCUCAAGUUGGUGGGGGAGGCUAAGAGAUGAUGGCGAUCAGCUAGGCUGGUCGAGGAGCAGCGCCCAAGGUACGUGUCGACUACCCGGAGUCGCUUCAGGGAGGUGUUCUUCGCACGAUACUUCCCCAUCGCCACCCGUGAGGAGAAGUCUGAGGAAUUCCUCCACUUGACUCAAGGAUCGAUGUCGGUGCAGCAGUACGCGGCUAGGUUCGUGGAGUUAUCUCGGUUUGCGCCUCACAUGGUUUCAGAUGAGCCGAAGAAGGCUCGUAUGUUUGAGAGGAGCCUGAAGCAGGCUAUACAUGCGCAAGUAGUAGCGUUGUAGUAACCCGACCCAAAAAAAAAAAAGAUAUUUUGGAGAAGAUAUUUUGAAAAGAGAUAUUUUUAGAUAUUUAUAUAUAAAUAUCUUGGAGGAGAUAUUUAUUUAGAUUACUUAAGGGCUAAGUAAGGACUUAUUCUAUAAAUUCUCUUAUCCUCUCUCAUUCUCUCAUUCUCUCUCUCUCUCUCUCAUUUUCUCUCUCUCGAGGAUUUAUUCUAUAAAUUCUCUUAUCCUCUCUCAUUCUCUCUCUCUCUCUCUCUCUCUCUCUCUCUCUCUCUCUCUCUCUCUCUCUCUCACUCAUUUUCUCUCUCUCUCUCUCUAAGAUCCUUCGCCGUUCAUCAUCCGUUUCCAAAAACGGAGGGUACUGCGUGGAUCAGAAGAGGAAACUCUACACUUUUAGUGGAUCGGAUCGUCGUUUCGGAGAGUUUCGGGUUUUCCCAAGAAUCGAGGUUUUCAGGAUCUCGAGUUGUCGUUUUGGACCGUUUUCGUACGAAGUUUCAUUUCGAAUAUAAGGUCCAUCCGUGCGUCGGUCCUAGUAGAUAAAAGGACUAGGGAGGUUAUUUUGGUUAGCUUACGUAAGCAUCUAAAUUUUUGUACUAAACUUGAUGAAAGUCCUUUUUGGAGGGUUGUAAUAUGACGAUUACUCUAAGUCCGAAUGUAUGUAAAUUAUGGAUGUAUUAGUGAACUCUGGUAUAAGGCUAGUAGUAAUCCCAAUGGAUGUUUAUGUUUUUCCGCGACAUUUACAUCAUGAUUAUGUAUGUUUUA